AUGUGUGAAUUCUGGUAUAAUACUAACUGGCACUCUGCAGUGGGCAAGACUCCCUUUGAGAUUUUGUAUGGCCAUUCUCCAAGGUACUUUGGCAUCACUGCCAGUGACACUAUAGCUUCUCCUGACAUCCAGCAGUGGCUAUUAGAAAGGCAGACUGUGUUGGAUUCUGUCACCCAACAUCUGCACAGGGCUCAACAGAGAAUGAAAGCUCAAGGUGAUAAGCACCGGACUGAACGUGUCUUUGAAGUUGGUGAAUGGGUUUUUCUCAAGCUCCAACCUUAUGUCCAAUCCUCAGUUGUUCGUCGAGCAAACCACAAACUCUCCUUCAAAUACUUUGGUCCAUAUAAAAUUCUGGGCAAGAUUGGUGAAGUGGCAUACAAGCUGGAGUUGCCUGCUACUAGCAAAGUCCAUUCAGUUUUCCAUGUAUCUCAACUCAAAAAGGUGCUAGUGCAAGUGCUUCAGUCUCGAGUGCGUCAGGUUGGUCAGAAAACA
rnacentral:rRNA from 1 species